rnacentral:rRNA from 1 species
GAGUUUGAUCGUGGCUCAGAUUGAACGCUGGCGGCAUGCCUUACACAUGCAAGUCGAACGGCAGCAUGAUCUAGCUUGCUAGAUUGAUGGCGAGUGGCGAACGGGUGAGUAAUACAUCGGAACGUGCCCUGUAGUGGGGGAUAACUAGUCGAAAGAUUAGCUAAUACCGCAUACGACCUGAGGGUGAAAGUGGGGGACCGCAAGGCCUCAUGCUAUAGGAGCGGCCGACGUCUGAUUAGCUAGUUGGUGGGGUAAAGGCCCACCAAGGCGACGAUCAGUAGCUGGUCUGAGAGGACGAUCAGCCACACUGGGACUGAGACACGGCCCAGACUCCUACGGGAGGCAGCAGUGGGGAAUUUUGGACAAUGGGCGAAAGCCUGAUCCAGCAAUGCCGCGUGUGUGAAGAAGGCCUCGG